GUCCGUUCAGGUUAAAGUUUUUGAUGAAGCUGAAGUCCAAUCAACUUGAAACUUAGUACACUUGAUGCUUAUGAUAUGAUCUUUCUAAUUUUAAAGACAAAUUAGACUUUUGACCCCAAUUUCAUGGUCCACUGAACAUAGAAAAUGAAAGUGGGAGUUUCAGGUUAAAGUUUUUGGUCAAGGUAGUUUUUGAUGAAGCUGAAGUCCAAUCAACUUGAAACUUAUAGUACACUUGUUGCUUAGGGAGCUACCAUUUGAUUUUUAUGGGGGGGCUAGGAUGAAAAAUUGUGUCCUGCUUUUUUUUUUAGUUGUAAUCUCUGUCCUGCCUUUUUAUUUUUUACUCUAUUCGGUCCUGCUUUUUUUUUUACUAGUUUAUCCUGACUUUUUUUUUUAACAAGUUUCUCAUCCUGCCUUUUUUUUUUUUACUCAAAACUCCUGUCCUGCCUAGUUUUUUCAAAUUUCAUCCUAGCCCCCCCAUAAAAAUCAAAUGG
rnacentral:lncRNA from 1 species